rnacentral:rRNA from 1 species
UACGUAGGGGGCGAGCGUUGUCCGGAUUUAUUGGGCGUAAAGAGCGUGUAGGCGGCCAGGUAGGUCUGCUGUGAAAACUCGAGGCUCAACCUCGAGACGUCGGCGGAAACCAUCUGGCUAGAGUCCGGAAGAGGAGAGUGGAAUUCCUGGUGUAGCGGUGAAAUGCGCAGAUAUCAGGAAGAACACCCGUGGCGAAGGCGGCUCUCUGGGACGGUACUGACGCUGAGACGCGAAAGCGUGGGGAGC